GUCGCAUGCUCCCGGCCGCCAUGGCGGCGCGGGAAUUCGAUUCUUUACAAUCCGAAGACCUUCUUCACACACGCGGCAUGGCUGGAUCAGGCUUUCGCCCAUUGUCCAAUAUUCCCCACUGCUGCCUCCCGUAGGAGUCUGGACCGUGUCUCAGUUCCAGUGUGACUGAUCAUCCUCUCAGACCAGUUACGGAUCGUCGCCUUGGUGAGCCAUUACCCCACCAACUAGCUAAUCCGACCUAGGCUCAUCUGAUAGCGCAAGGCCCGAAGGUCCCCUGCUUUCUCCCGUAGGACGUAUGCGGUAUUAGCGUCCGUUUCCGAGCGUUAUCCCCCACUACCAGGCAGAUUCCUAGGCAUUACUCACCCGUCCGCCGCUCUCAAGAGGUGCAAGCACCUCUCUACCGCUCGACUUGCAUGUGUUAGGCCUGCCGCCAGCGUUCAAUCUGAGCCAUGAUCAAACUCUAAUCACUAGUGAAUUCGCGGCCGCCUGCAGGUCGACCAUAUGGGAGAGCUCCCAAC
rnacentral:rRNA from 1 species